rnacentral:rRNA from 1 species
UACGUAGGGUGCAAGCGUUAAUCGGAAUUACUGGGCGUAAAGCGUGCGCAGGCGGUUCGGAAAGAAAGAUGUGAAAUCCCAGGGCUUAACCUUGGAACUGCAUUUUUAACUACCGGGCUAGAGUGUGUCAGAGGGGGGUGGAAUUCCACGUGUAGCAGUGAAAUGCGUAGAUAUGUGGAGGAACACCGAUGGCGAAGGCAGCCCCCUGGGCUGAGAUUGACGCUCAGGCACGAAAGCGUGGGGAGCAAACAGG